GUUCAGAUAGUUUAAUAGAAUAGAGCUCUGAAGAAGCUUAGGAGGGAUAUCCCUUUGAACA
rnacentral:tRNA from 1 species